rnacentral:rRNA from 1 species
GACGAACGCUGGCGGCGUGCCUAAUACAUGCAAGUAGAACGCUGAAGGAGGAGCUUGCUUCUCUGGAUGAGUUGCGAACGGGUGAGUAACGCGUAGGUAACCUGCCUGGUAGCGGGGGAUAACUAUUGGAAACGAUAGCUAAUACCGCAUAAUAUUGACUAUUGCAUGAUAGUCAGUUGAAAGGUGCAACUGCACCACUACCAGAUGGACCUGCGUUGUAUUAGCUAGUUGGUGGGGUAACGGCUCACCAAGGCGACGAUACAUAGCCGACCUGAGAGGGUGAUCGGCCAAACUGGGACUGAGACACGGCCCAGACUCCUACGGGAGGCAGCAGUAGGGAAUCUUCGGCAAUAGACGGAAGUCUGACCGAGCAACGCCGCGUGAGUGAAGAAGGUUUUCGGAUCGUAAAGCUCUGUUGUAAGAGAAGAACGAGUGUGAGAGUGGAAAGCUCACACUGUGACGGUAUCUUACCAGAAAGGGACGGCUAACUACGUG